AGGUAGCGUAAUCACUUGUCCCCUAAAUAGGGACCAGUAUGAACGGCUAAAUGAGGACAAACCUGUCUCCUACAACCAAUCAGUGAAACUGAUCUUCCAGUACAAAAGCUGAAAUAUACACAUAAGACGAGAAGACCCUGUGGAGCUUAAAAUUGACUACUACACCAACAUACCUAGUACAAAAUUUUAAGUUGGGGCGACUUCGGAAUAAAAUAGAACUUCCGAGCACAGAAUCACAAAUUCUUGACAAGGCCCACAAGCCAAAACAUAAACUGACCCAGUCACACUGACCAACGAACCAAGUUACCCCAGGGAUAACAGCGCCAUCUUCUUCAAGAGCCCCUAUCGACAAGAAGGUUUACGACCUCGAUGUUGGAUCAGGACACCCAAAUGGUGCAACCGCUAUUAAAGGUUCGUUUGUUCAACGAUUAACAGUCCUACGUGAUC
rnacentral:rRNA from 1 species